UAGAUACCCUGGUAGUCCAUGCCGUAAACGAUGAGUGCUAAGUGUUGGGAGGUUUCCGCCUCUCAGUGCUGCAGCUAACGCAUUAAGCACUCCGCCUGGGGAGUACGACCGCAAGGUUGAAACUCAAAGGAAUUGACGGGGGCCCGCACAAGCGGUGGAGCAUGUGGUUUAAUUCGAAGCAACGCGAAGAACCUUACCAGGUCUUGACAUCCAUAGCCAGUCUAAGAGAUUAGAUGUUCUUCGGGGACUA
rnacentral:rRNA from 1 species